CUUCUCUUACCGUUCAUUCUUUCUAUCAGCGCCUCAGCGUUAUCGUUAUCGAUCCUUCUCCGCCAAUCCUAAUGGUCUAUUCAGAUCCGUUGUCAAUGUUUUCAUUCUAUGCUUCUCCUUGUUCGAUUCGGCCAGAUCUCUUCGAGAUCUACAUAUACAUGGCAGUUUCGACGGAGAAACGUUUUGGGAACUCGGAUAGCUGAUUCAUCGAGAUUUAGAUUUCGAUUCAAGGUAUGGCGGUGAUGAUCGUAUCAGAUCCAAAAGACGAGGUUCGUAGCCAAGGCGUUACCGAUUAGAUUAAGAUCUGAUUAUGUGGCAACAGAUCUUUUGUGAAGAAGAUCGCGGCGGCUAAAUAAGAUGUUGUAUCACCGUGUAAUUGUAAAAAAAAUGGAUAGUUUGGGAUGCACAGAUUAAGCGAGGGUGUUUCUGGUUGGUUUUGUUUUAUAUGGGUGUAGAAGAUGUUGGAACAAAAGGCCUAUGGAGGCUGAGUUCUGAUCUAUCUUUGUCAUCCCGACCUUUGCCAUGACAGGUGCGCUUGCAUGGCAGGUCACCCAAUUCUUAAUAAAAAAAAGUAACAAUUUUUUGGUUUCGAGGGAUGAACCGCACGGGGAUUGCCCGGGGUCUUCCCUCCGGUGUGCUGUGUGCUUUUCGUUUUUUGCUUUCUCUUCCUAUAUAAAUUCGCUGCUCACCCGACGAAAAGGAUACAAGUCUGCAACUCAAAACAUCGUCUGCCAAAGGUAUACUCUUAUCAAUCCGCUAGGUUUUAAGGUUUAUUUCAUUUACUUCACAAUAGAUCGAGAUGAAUUAGAUUUGUUUGAGUUAGCGAUUUUUUAUCAGGCCUAAGUUUAAAUUUAGCGCUUAGGCCACAUUUUAAGGCUAAAGCAAUCCUUUUUUCCUUCACAUCAAGAUUGAUGUAGACCAUUAACUUGAAAAGCCGGUACAAAUAUAUCACGCUCUAGUAAUUUUAUUAUGUAUGAUUUUUGAAGUUUAUCUGCUUUAUCCAUUUUUAUCAGUCAUAAUUUUUGGUGGUUUAAGGCUAGCUUAAUUUUAUUAGAAGAUUUCAGAGAACAAUUAAAUUUUUUAAUAUUCUGUGGGAUCUGCUUUAUAAAUUUUUUAUCAUUCAUUAAGGUGUUCCGAUUCUAAAUUUUUUUCUCAAUAGUUAAAAGUUUUCCAAUUCUGUAGCUUAUAUUGGACGAAUUCGGACAUACCAAUUUUUUAAAUAUUCAAUUUUAAAAAAGUUUUGGCAUGAUGUUUUGUCAUUUGUCAUUUACAGUUUGCGAUUAAUGGAGUCCAAAUACAUCUUGGCCUUGGAGCAUAUACAGUUAUGAUAGUACAAUUUCUAACUUCGACAGAUAAAUUGCGUUCUGUAUUGUUCGACGUUCUAUUUUUUUUUACAAUAAUUUAAUUUUAACCGCCAGUAAGCCUGCUUUAGACGUGAUAGCGUAUAUUUCCUGCAACAUGUGCGUUAAUCCCACUGCAACACGAAUAGAUCCAGCUACCUUCUAGCAAAUAAUAUUCGGUGCCCUGUUUCUGCAUAUUUGUUUACCUGGUUUGUUCUGUUGCCUACAGCAUAUUUGAUUUGGGUAAAUUUUUUGAAUUGAUUACCUAGUUCUCAGAGCUACUUCGUUUGCAGUUGGUUCUUGUUCCCACUGUAUUGUUGUACUUUUAACGCGUGUAUAUUGUGGCGGCGUUAAGAAUGUAAUCUGAUGCAACCGUUUGGUUGUGAACUGGUUGUACAUGUAUAUUGUUAUGUUUUGUGUCUUCUAGCUCAAGACGUGUAUCGGCCUGCUUUGGUCUGGCUGAAGUCAGUUGCAGCGUAGACUGCUGACGUUUGUGCAGAACGAACCGAAGGAUAAUAUUGUGGUUCUCUCAUACCGCUAGCUGCGAAGGAAGACUGCUUCGAUGAAGUUUUUGACUGUUUCUUCAAUGAGCUUGCAAAAGCAUUCGUCCAGAGGUGACUAUUGUGUUAUCAACACCCUCUAUCGUUGACUUUUUGGAUGGAUACAUCAUUUCCAUCUAUUUUCAUUUUUUGAUUAUAUGAAGCAAGAUUUUCUUAAUUUUUUAUUCUUAUUUAUUGAUUUUUAUGGAUUCAUUUUUAUAGUAAUCUUCUUUGAUGUAUUUUGUUGAUUAUUCUUGUUAUUAUUAUUUUGUGAUUAUUAUUAUGUUAGUGUAAUUUUCAUAGUAAUGUUCUUUGAUGUAUUUUGUUUAUUAUUAUUACUAAUAUUGUGAUUAUUAUUGUUUGUUAUAAUGUAAUCUUGUUAUUAUUAUUUUGUGAUUAUUAUUAUGUUAGUGUAAUUUUCAUAGUAAUGUUCUUUGAUGUAUUUUGUUUAUUAUUAUUACUAAUAUUGUGAUUAUUAUUGUUUGUUAUAAUGUAAUUUUACUAUUUCUGUAAAUUCUUAAAAAAGUGUUAUUUACUUUUUGAUGGGGAAGCUGUGUCAAAAUUAUUCUGCGGCAUGGUGUGGUGUUUUGCUCGCUCCCCUGAUCCGCUUGAUUAUUGGAUAUUUGCGCCAUGAUUUUGAGUGGUCCAGAAUCUUUCCUAUUUGCUACAUUUAAAAAAUGGGUUUGGUUCUGUUUGGUUGAAGAAAUAAAUUUUUUGUCAAAUGAAUUUUUUUUUAUCCAAGUUCAAAGCUGUUUUGUGUUUAGCCCCCGAAAAAAUGUGAACGGAAUUGGUAUGGAAGUUAAUUUUUUUUUUUUGGAAUAGUUGUUUUAAAAUAGAUUUGCACCCCUUUUCUUAUAUUUUUGCCCUCUUGGUUUUUAUAACUACUAUUUCUAAUUUUAAAAGGUGGGUUUGGUUCGCUUUGUUUAAGGGAAAAAAAAAUGUAAAAUGAGAACAAAGCGGGGUAUCUAAUUUUGAUGUUUUAAUUGUGCCAAGAAAUGUACGAUAUAUGUUUUUUACUAUACGAAUUAUAAAAUCUAAUUUUGAUGUUUUAAUUGUGCCGGUGUUUUAAAUUAUUAUUUUUUUUUUGGAAUAAUUGUUUUAAAAUAGAUUUGCUCCCCUUCUUAUAUUUUUGCCCUCUUGAUUUUUAUAACUCUAGUACUAUUUCUAAUUGUAAAAAGUGGGUUUGGUUCGCUUUGUUGAAGGGAAAAAAAAAUGUAAAAUGAGAACAAAGCGGGGCAUCUAAUUUUGAUGUUUUAAUUGUGCCGGUGUGUUAAAUGUGCCGAGAAAUGUACGAUAUAUGUUUAUUACUAUUCGAAUUAUAAAAUUAGUAUAAUAUUUGCUAUGUGAAUCACAAUGGAAUGGUGUUUAAAAUUAAGAGUUUUUUUCUUAUAUGAAUCACAAGAGAAAUAUAUUUUGAGAAUGGCGCCGCUGUUGGGGAGACUUAUUUUGUGCGUUUUCAUGUAUUAGAAUUCAAAUGGUAGUUAUUUUAGUUUAUUACCAGCAAAGGCUAUUAAUAAGUUGAAAGAAAUUAUUAGUUACAUAGAUUCAAAAUUUAUAUAUAAUAUUAGUGUUUUGAAUUUGAAACUGUUGGAACAAUAAUGUUUUUUGUAGUAGAGAUUAUUGUGCCCCAAUUUUUCUGAUAGAUCUGUAAGCUCGAACGGUCAGAGCGCUCAAAUCCAAUUUGGCUUUUGAGAGGAUGGUGGUUCGAAUCCACCCGGAUCUGAAAUGUUAAUUUCAUCUGUAAGAAGAGAGCGGGGGCUAAUCCAAUUUUGGCUUCUGAGAUUAGAACGUUUUGCUUUGAAGUGGUUAAUCCAUGCUUAGUUGUGCUUAUCAGAAAAAAAAAAUUUAAUAAUGAGACUUGUUGAAUUGUAUAUUUAAGAAGUUUAUUCAUUUAAUGGAAUUUUUCUUGUGACGUUUGCUUGAAAAUGUGUUGUUUACCUAUACAUUUUUUGAAAUCCUAUAAUUCUUGUAUUCCCCUAUUUUAACCAUGACAAUUCUUUUAUAAUAAUGAUUGAAUUUAAAAAAUAUUCGUAUGUUUGAUUUGGUCCAUAAAAAAUGUUAAAAAUAUUUUCACAAGUCUCUUGCUAAAUAGAAAAAAAAAAUUCAAAAAUUAGCAAAAAUGAUGAAAAACAGAAAAAAAAAGAAUCUUUUCUGUUUUUGGUAAAUAAAAAAGUGAAAUCAUGACAUUUUUUUAAAGACCACUAAUAUGUUCUGAAUUUAAAAUUGCCAAAAUUAUUUUCUUAAAAAAAAAAAAAGUAGGUGGUGAUUAAAAAAAUUAAAUUAAGAUCCGUUGUAGCUUGGACUUCUUGGCCCGCAGGGGAUAAAGGGAAGUGUCGUGAAGCUGCACGCAACCUGCCAUGUGUUUUCCAUUGAGCGUGCCGUGCUUCACGAGGUGAUAAAGUUAGUAAGUUUAAUUCCGCGUAUGGGCAACGCAUGCUUGCGUGUCAACUAAACCACCAAACCAUUAAAUGGUAGACAGCUGUUCACGCAUCGCCAUUAAAAUAUCUUCAACUGCUUUUUCGUAACAAACACAUGGUUCUGUGCCGUCCACGUAGCGAACAAAUUUACCGUCGAUCUCUCGUCGAACGCAUACCUGUUGAUCAUAAGUUCGGUUUGUUCCGAUGGCGUCUGCAUCGGUCUUAAAUUGUGCGUUGCCUCGUUGUUGCUCCAUAGCAAGUUUGCCUUGCCGGCCGAUAUCCAUUCGCAACAAGACGUUUCGGUGAUGAACGCAGACGGCUGAAUCAGAUAGGAGCCUUCUGAUUAUAGUGAUGAAGGGUUUCAGAUCGCUAAUUUGCUAAUUAUGUAAAACUUGGCGAAGGUUGUAACCUCUUUUAAUAAAUUGGGGAUAAAAGGCUAAUAAUUUCUUCGCCAGUCCCCUAAUUGAUUUGGUAUUUUGUGAGCCGACCUUUGCCAUGGCAGGUGCGCUUGCAUGGCAGGUCAAAAAGAAACAUAAUAAAAAUAUUUGAUUUGGUUUUUCAGAGGAGAGGUCGCACGUGGUUUUGCCCGGGAUCUCUCCUCUGGUGUGUGCUUUGGCUGUUCUUGCUGCUUUUUUCUUCUCUCAUAAUCAUUCAAAUCCUAUACGCAGAAUUUUCCGAGCUACAACUUCAGUCGCUCAUCUCGUUCAUGGUAGAUCCAUCUGCAAAGGUACAUUGAAUGUUCUAUCCCUCCUAUUAUUAUUUCUUUAAUUAAUUUAAUGGCCGUAGCAAAUCCUGCUAAAUAUAUGGUAGCCUGGUUCAAAUAUUGGAAUAACAAAUGCGGCUUUGCUUUUUAUAUUGUUUUUGGCAUGAACUGCUGUUAGUUUUAGUCGCAUUUACAUUGGAGCUAGAAAUACAAAUGACGAAUUGGAGAAUCGGCAUGACAUUUAUAUAUUGAUAUUUGGUCAUCCUCGCAUACGUACAUGCUUUAAUCUUCCUACAAUUCCCAUUCAUACAUGCUUAAAUCUUCCUGCAAUUUUGGUAUUUGUUUAUUUAUAGUUUUUGACUUUUUAAUGCAGUUAGUAAUUAACUUGAACCGAAAUUAAUCGAUGAGUGAGGCUUUAGCAUCCCCACAAAAAAAAAAAAAAAAAAAAAAAAAACAUGAUUACGCCGUUAUACGUGUGUAGUUAUUUUAUUUAUUUAAUUUGAUUUCUUUUGGAAGUACUUAAACUUGUUUUAAAUGCGUGUUUAACUGUACUGACGAAUAAUUAGUUCGUGAAUUGAGAGCUGUACGUGUUGUUGUAUCAAAUAGUUAUAUGGAAGUAGAUUAUUCUAUGUAAAUGGACAUACUAGUGUGUGACGUUAAGCACCACAAAAGUGCUCGUAAUCAAAUAGAAAUUUUCGCUGCUGUGCUUGUGGAUGACUUUCCUGCAAGGAGAAAGAUGUGUAUCGUUGUCGGGUGGUGGAAUCUUUAUUGUUAAAUAUGUUUUCCAUUUAUCGCCAUUCGAAGCAAUUAAUCUGAGACGACAGGGGUCGUGAAAACGAGAGUUUGUAUCAUAAUGUUAAAAAGAGUACGAUGAGCAGCAGCCGAGGAAAUGAAAUCACGUUAUGGUUGUGUAUCAUUUAGUAAUUGUUGCGAUUUCUUACUAUUCAUUCGUCUAUUGAAUUGUUGAAUCUCUAAUGAUUAGCUGCUCCAAAUGUCAAUAUUUUGUUAUGUUCUAUUUAUCUAACAAAUUGUAUUUUGCUACUGUGCUUAUUAUACGCAUUUCUGUAAAUUUAUUUACUUAUUUAUUUUUUUGGGGCUAA